ACGCACAAUACAUAUUACCUCUUUUUGUCAUCUUGAGUAUUAUUUAUUUCACCGAUACGAAGUUAGUAAUUAUUAUUAAAUCUGUUUUUUUAAUUCUCUUUUCAGGUAAGAGACAAUUUUUGGUCAGCUGUUGUGAAUUUUGUAUGAGUGUACAAUUUUGCUUUCAGAACAAAAGUGAAGACCUAAAAAAAUGGGACCAAAACAUUUCGUUAGGGGUCAAAAAAUGCCAGCAGGGGUCAGGAUCAACGAGAUCAGACUAUGUCAGAAUUUAUGAUUUAGAGCACAUUUAAAACGUAUCCAAAGAAAAUGUAGACAUUCUACCCUAAGUGAAAAGACUGUUGAAUGAACAUUUAUUUCCCACCUACACGCAAACGUACCAACAAGCCUAAAUGCACAUGCACACCAAGCCUGAUUUUUUAUUUCUUGUAGAGCUUAAUAAACCCGUUUUUUUUCUUUUUGCAUUUGCUGCGCUCUGUUUUAAGUCCCACAAAUGAAAUAUUUUCUUUACCUUAUUUAUAUAUCGUAUGAAAUAUAUUUCAAUGUUCAAUUUGACUAAAGAAAUGUGUUUUCUGUUAAGUUUUGCAAGGAAACCUAAUGCCAAAAUGAGUGUUAGUGAAGAAUGUCAAAUACACAUUGAGAAGUUGGUGAUAUAAGAAAGCUCAUGUUGUGAUUCCGGCCAUAGCUUGAUAUAGAAAAACGUAAGCUCAAACGAAAAUAAAGUACAAUAAAAAUAUGUUGAAAAAGAAACUGGUAGAAAUGCGAUUAAACAAGAGAAACCACAACAAAAGUACCAGUAAUCCCAGAGUUAGAGAAUGUGCACGUGAGCCGCAUAACACACAUUGAAAAAAGUUAUCCACGUUCAAUGUCAAAGUGAAAAAAAUCUAAUUUUACACAGCAAACGUUGAGCCCGAACAAUAUGAUUUUGCAUGUGCACGGUUUCUUUACACAAACGGCCACAUACUGUUGACACAAAAUCGACCAUUCGUCAAAUAAAGAAAGCUAAUAAUCAAAUCGAGAAAAACAAAUUAACAAACAAAUGAUUUCAAAGAAAAAAAUUAUUAAGGCGCCUAAAUUGGUGACCAUUUGUUGCGGAAAAAGAAAACUAUUUUCUUUCCAAUCUUUGAUGGGAUUCAUUUUAACAGAACUUACCUCUUCGGAUAUGCAAUGAGAAGCAAAAAGUGUAAUUGGAGCUCAAACAAUCGAAACAGAUGUCAUGUUGAUUGAUUUAAAUUGAAAUGUCAUAAUCUUUUCCUUGCUGUUGCCCGAAAAAUAUCUUCACGCAGAAUUUGUUUUUAAUUUUCGUUCAUUGUUGCAAGUUUGGUCCAAGUUCGUAGCAGCAAAUAAGUUUGAAAUUUUACACACAUAAAUUUGUUCAUUUCAAGUUGAGUACAACAAAAAACAAAAACAAAACAUUAUGGAAAAACUAACAACAAAGCGUCCAUUAAAUAAAUGACUUGAAAUUACCUUUGUGAACUGUAUUUUUUCAAGAAAUUAACUUUGGGACGCAGACGAAACGGUAUUUUGAGCAUCACAUCGAAGAAUUUAACAACAUUUCGCAAUCUAUAAUGUCGAUUUGUUUUCAGUUUGUUGGAUUGCAUUCACACGGCAAUUAUUAUAAUUAUGGCUCAUCGUGAAAUUGAUUUGCAUAAUUUGAUUAAGAUAUCACAUUGGAAAGCAAACAAAAGAAGUAGCGCUGGCGUUUUGCGCGCCUGAACAAUCAUGAAAUCAUUAGGCCAUAAACAUUUCCACAAAAAGUCAAUUUUAUGAUCGAUUGAACGAUAGCAAAAUUCAUAACAAUGUACAGUACGCCCCCGCAAAUUAGAAAAGAAAUGUCCCGCGACCAUUUCCAAUUUGCGGAGUUUUCUAAUUUCUGAGGUUUUUUCAAUUUCAUCCACAAACGGUGUAUCAAAUGAAAAACUGAUAGGGGGAAUGAUUUGCUUAAUUGAAAACGAUAUAUUGAACACUGUUCAAUCAAGUAUUGUAUGUAAAUACAUGCUUAUAAGCAGUUAUUUUAGUGAUUGUAAAUAUAUAGUAAGUCUGUUAGUUUAUUUUACUGGAUAAACUACUCCUCGGAACAAACCGAAAUAAAUGAUGACCGGCUGUUCUUAUUAUAUCAUACGAUAGUAACCAGAAAACGUUAGCAUUCUAUAUACAAUUUUGUAUAUGCAAAUUCUCUGAUGGACCAAAUCGGUUUCGAUUUGUUAAUGAUUGAUGAUUGACGCAGACAAUAUGGAACAGAUUACUUCGUUACUUAAUUUUUAACUUCAUGGUAAACGUCGAAAAUCCCAGCUGAUCUGCUAAUAUAGUUAUUCAACGAAAUGGAAAAGACUUUCAUUACGUUUUUUCAUUAGAAAUGAAGUAAAUUUCGCUUUGUCUUGAAUGAAAUGAUUCGGAAACCCCAUGAAUUAGAAAUGAACCCCGGAAAUUGGAAAUUUUCCAUACAAAUUUUCAAACCUGAAAUUCAUUUCUAAUUUCUGAGGUUUUCUAAUUUUCGGGUUUCUAAUUUGCGGGAGUCCACUGUAUGUGCUUAAUAGCAAAGAGAUUUAAACGAUGUGAUUUGAUGAAGUUGAGCUUGGCUUAUAUAUGUAUAUAAAUAUAUCGCAUUCAAUCUGAUGAUUGAAUUGAUUCGCAUAAUUUUUUUCUAUACUAUUUUUAUGUAUUUUGCACUAGUAGUUUUCUCCAAAGAGUUAUUAAAAAUAAACCCCAGUAAAACAAAGCAACAAUAGUAUGCAGUCGUGCUGUGAUGGCAUGUCUGAGUUCUUUUUUAAGUAUCACCAAAUAUCCAAAAGAAGAGAGUGGACGAAAAAUGGAACAAACGCUGCUACAUACAGCUAAGACGUUAUCGGUUGGUUAUGCAUAGGCAUUUCUAUUUGCAUUGUAAUUCAUAUCAAUUAUUGCAUGGGCAGUUGAAUAGCAUCGCAUUUACUAUUAUAUGUCACUGUUUCAUAUAUGAUUAAGCUGUCAUAUGACCAAUGGCUGUGUAUUUUUUUCUGCUGAGUCGAAAACUAUUUUAAGAUACAUGCAUACUUUUUAUGUUUCGUUCGGGAGAGAAAACAAUAAUGACAUAAUCAUUUCGAGCUCAGCACUUCGAAAUGAAUUGAAUCAAUUGCAAUACCCCUGGUUGAGAAACACAAUCACGACCAUUUUUACUUUCAAAAAUAUUUACUAAAUGAUGGUCAAGCGGACGCAUUUCGUCAAAAUUGAUGUAUAAUCACAUAAUUGAUCGCAAAUGAUCGCGUACAUUAUUUGGUAGCGGAGACAGUGGCUCAGUCGCAUUUUGAGGAGAGGAAUGCAAGGAAAAAACAUCAAAAUGAAUUAAAUUAAAUCGUAUGUGACGAAUACAGUCGCCGGCGAGCUGCUUCGACAUAUAUUUAUAUAUAUACUUAUAUCACAAAAAUACGGUUCUGUUGCCAAGUACAAAUGACUUCUGUUAGAUGUUUCGCUAUGUACCUCUUUCUCUUUUUCCCAAUCCCAUCGCUCUCCCGUUCGCAUUAUAAAUUCGCGUUCAAUUUCGUUCGGGAGACUGUUUUGCUUAGGCUACGAUAGAAUUCGCUUUUUUGACUAGUCGUCAUUUGUCAUUUUUCGUUCUCUAAAACUUUAUCUCUCUUUCUACACAUAUUUUUCAUUGCAUAAUUUUGACAAAUCCGUAGAACUUAGAAGAUAGCGCUGUCUCCUGUUUCUGUUACUGUGACUUUAAAUUUGUAUGUGACUCGCUCGUUGGUCAAUGAAAAUUGACAAAUGUCGGUUUUUUCCGUAGAAUAAAAAAACAUGCAUCAAUUGAAGCACACAAAUGAAAAUGAUUCGUUUACUGUGUUUGUGUGUAUUUAGUAGUCUAUAUGUUAGCUGUCAAAAUGCGCAACUACGGAACGCUGCCACCAUGAUAUUCAUCAAAUCAUAAACGGCAAAUUACUACACAUAUCGCUUUCGCCGCAUAUUCGUCUACGUUUCUUGGCUGUUCAUUUUUACGUGAAUCAAAAUGUACAAAUUCAACCGAUUCGACAACUUCGAUUUCUUUCGGUUCUGAGCGCUAAUCUGAAAGUUUGUUUUGCUUUUGUUCAUGCGCUCUUUUGCUUGAUUGCUUGCGUUCGUACAUGCCUUUGUUCGUUUUCGCUUGCCUUAAAUGCCAAUGCUAAAAAAAUCGAAGAUAUCGUACGUUUUGAGUCAUAGCAUUUUUAGGUAACGAUCAUUUCGUUGUUGCCAUUCAUUUCAUAACACACGCUAUCGUUUCAAGCGCUCAGCAAAACUCUGCAGAAUUGACAUAAAAUUUGCAUGCCACUCUCUAAUUUAUACAUAUUAAAUAGCUAAAAUCAGUUAAUUUUGGGGUUUCAGCAGUUUCAUUGUGUGUUGCAACGUAAUAUUUCGCCAUAGAAAUGAUUCUGUCUACUUAUUUAAUGAAAACCAUAAUCAUUGUCACCGGUUCAGCGCGAACAAAUUCCAACAUAUUUAUAUAUACGCCCUUUCGCAAAACGACUCACUCAUUUCCAAAAUUAUCUUCUUUUUUUGGUUUUGUUCAGCUGUGAGAUUUUGGACUUUGGCCUUGGAUUUCUGAAUUUGGGAUUGGGAUUGGGAUUAGAGAUUCCCUCCAAGAAAAAAAAUACAAAAGUCCAUAUAAUACAGCAGAAUUUUAGUCGAAUUUUCCUCCGUUCCAGACACUCGGAUUUUACAAUUUUCAUAUUUUACGCGAACUAGCAACAUUGAAAAAUUUAGAAAAAAACGCUUAGAUUAAGAUGAAUAUUCAAAUCUUGGCAAAUUUGCCGAAAUGAAUUCGGGUAGGGCGAUUUCAAUUGUAGAUUUUAUGUACUUUAAUGUAGUGUUUUUACUUUUUUUAUGUAGGAACAAUUUUUUUGAGUAAUCGGCUAUCGAAAAACUGCUAUAAAAUGGGACAACUCAAAUCUUGAAUUUUUUUUCGAAUGAAGAAUGGUUCCAAAAAAUUGUAGAUAAAUUGUAGAAUUCAAAUCAAUUGACUGUUUUCAAAUAUGUCUGCCCGUUCGUUCGAUAUCGGGACGAGUCUUGAAAAUUGGUCCAAAAUCGGUAAUACUCAAAUCUUGGCCCCAAAUCGAUCAUUCCACAAACUAAAUCUAUUUUCUAUUGUUUCUAGGUCCAUAAAAUUGUAAAAAAAAUGUAGAAUUCAAAUCAAUCGUCUGAUUCUUGAUGUUUUCAACAACUUAUUUGACAACAGCAGUGUUUUAUUUUUGUAGGGAGAAAAAAUGCUCCAAAACUGGUCCAAACUGUUUUAUUAAUUGUAGUAACCCAGAAUUAAUUUUAGUGACCCAAAAAUAAUUGUAGAAGCAACUACAGUUAUUGUAGUGGUCGAAAAUUAAUUAACAAUUACAAUAACUGUGGUUGCUUCUACAAUUAUUUUCGGGCCACUACAAUUAAUUUUCGACCACUACAACAACUGUAGGUGCUUCUACAAUUAUUUUCGGGCCACUACAAUUAAUUCUUGGUUACUUUAAUUAUUAAAACACGUUUUAUAGCAGUUUAUAGCAGUUUUAUUCCCAUAUUAAAUAUUAAACUCCCCUGGAGCCAAAUAAGUUGUUGAAAACAUCAAGGAUCCGAUGACUGAUUUGAAUUCUACAUUUUUUCUACAAUUUUAUGAAACCUAGCAUCAAAAGAGGAAGAUUCAGUUUGUGGAAAUUUAAAUUUGUGGCCAAGAUUUGAGUAUUACCGAUUUUGGACCAAUUUUCA